AAUACAAGAUGCUUAGUUAAACUGGCAUUUCAGAAGAAAAAUGAUCUUUUUAGCAUAAGUAUAUCCCACGCACUGUUUGGGACAUGCUUAUGCUAAAACUUGUUGUUUAUCUGAAAUUCAAAUUGAACUGGAUGUCCUGUAUGU
rnacentral:miRNA from 1 species